rnacentral:ribozyme from 11 species
CUUUUUUUUCUUUUUUUUGUUUUCACUUUUUGUUUGGAUUAAAAAAACAUGUGCAAAUGUCUG